AAAGGUGGAGUAACACAGAGACUGGAAACUACAGGAAGAUCCUAGGAUUGUAGGGACAAAAAAAGAGGAAAUGAUACUAACAAACCCAGAACUAUGAAGGCCACUGGACAUCAAAGUUUCCUGAUGCUACAAGAUGGCGAGAGGAGAGAGAGAAGACAGAGAGAAACCUUCAGAAAUGGGUUGUUUGAUUCUCUUGUAUAUUCUCAAUACUAAUUUUUUUCAGAUGAGUAGCUUGCAAAUAUUUUCUCCCAUUCAACAUGUUGUCUCUUCACUCUGUUGAUCAUUUCCUUUGCUUUCAUGGCCUGUGCUUUUGUAGUCUUAGCCAUAAAAU
rnacentral:lncRNA from 1 species